rnacentral:snRNA from 1 species
GUGCUCGCUUCGGCAGCACAUAUACUGCAAUUGGAGCGACACCGAGAAGAUAAGCAUGGCCCCUGCAAGGAUGACACGCAAAUUCGUGAAGCGCUCCAUAUUUUU